ACGGGUGCGUAACGCGUAUGCAACUUGCCUCACAGAGGGGGAUAACCCGUCGAAAGACGGACUAAUACCGCGUACACUCCAUCUUGGGCAUCCAAGGUAGAGGAAAUGAAAUUCGCUGUGAGAUAGGCAUGCGUCCCUUUAGCUAGUUGGUGAGGUAACGGCUCACCAAGGCGACGAUGGGUAGGGGAACUGAGAGGUUGAACCCCCACACUGGUACUGAGACACGGACCAGACUCCUACGGGAGGCAGCAGUGAGGUAUAUUGGUCAAUGGGCGAGAGCCUGAACCAGCCAAGUCGCGUGAAGGAUGACUGUCUUAUGGAUUGUAAACUUCUUUUAUACGGGAAUAACAAGAGCCACGUGUGGCUCCCUGCAUGUACCGUAUGAAUAAGCAUCGGCUAACUCCGUGCCAGCAGCCGCGGUAAUACGGAGGAUGCGAGCGUUAUCCGGAUUUAUUGGGUUUAAAGGGUGCGUAGGCGGCCUGUUAAGUCAGCGGUGAAAUCUAGGAGCUUAACUCCUAAAUUGCCAUUGAUACUGGUGGGCUUGAGUGUAGAUGAGGUAGGCGGAAUGCGUGGUGUAGCGGUGGAAUGCAUAGAUAUCACGCAGAACUCCGAUUGCGAAGGCAGCUUACUAAGGUACAACUGACGCUGAAGCACGAAAGCGUGGGUAUCAAACAGGAUUAGAUACCCUGGUAGUCCACGCAGUAAAC
rnacentral:rRNA from 1 species